AUGAAACAAUCACCAACAUAUAUUGGUAAGGGGAAAAAAGCAAGGGGAAGAUCAAUGCUUAUAAGUGGGGGGGGGGUAAAGGAAAAAAAAAAAAAGAAAAGAGUGUCUUUUCUUAAAUGCUUGUGUUUACCCCAGGUCAUUUCUGGAAGAACUCUCAAGAUGCUGCUGAUUCUGGGGAGGAGAACUGGGUGGAGGGUGAUGAAGGGACUCCAGGAAAGCCUGCUCUUCCUUCCUGCCACCUUCCAUCUCUGAGGCUCACUGCCUGCCCCUGCAGUUCUUCCCCGGGAGCUUCAUUUGUCAGCUUAGUACUCUGAUGGAUGUAAGUGACACCUCCUCCCUCUGGCCCGAGGGAGAGUGAGACUUCUGGUAGCCAUGUGCACCUUAGUCUGAACAAGAGACAGGAGAGAGAGAGACAGGAGAGUGUGGAGGGGAGUAUGACUUCCAGUUCAGACUGGAUACCAAUCAGGUAAUUGGGUGAUAGGAGGCAGAGGCGUGGGGUUGGGCAAGCAGCGAGAAUGCACGAAGCUCUGCAGGGUAAGCAGAGGGGGAGAGCUCAGAGGGACAUCUGGAGGGAGGCGUGGGCGGGUGGCACCGUGAGGGAGUGGUGGGGGACUGUACCAGCAUCUCAUGGUUGGCCUCUGGCCAGCCCCGUCCUUACUUCCAUUCCCGGUGAGAUGAGAACAGAAACUGGCUGGCUCCCCAGAUCACGGAGACAGCAGAUGAAGUAGGUGAGAACAGAUGAAUAAGUGGGGACAAGGAGCCCGAGGCCAGCCCUGCAGGGGCCCCACAGAGGGACUCUGCACAGUCCCCCAAAUCAGCCGCCCCAAGGGACUGCCCUGUGCUGUGGGCAGAGCGCCUCUCCUCCCUGGUUCUCCCAGGGCGCCUCAUUUUGCUGGUUUCCAGUGGAGGAAAGUCUUCAGCCCUCCACCUUAAACCUGAUGCUAGAACCCAAGGAGGCCGUGCUUUGUUUGGUUUUAUUUUUGAGGCAUGAAGAUGGGAAAGGAGCAGAGCAUCACAUCAUCCCGGGGAGCCGAGGAUGUGCUCCAGGCACCCCUGGGUCCUCGUGACUUAGUAAGAAAAUUUGCACUCGUUAAUUGAUCCACAUCUUCUCCUAAAGGUAUUUUGAUUUUCAGUCAAAUUUCUAUUUAAAUAAGGAGUUUCAAAGGAGGCAGAAGUCAAGGCUGUGUUCUCGGAACACUGAUCCUUAAACAAAGGGAUUUUGCCGACAGGAC
rnacentral:lncRNA from 12 species